GUGGCAUGAUGAACGUGUUUAUCCAUUCGCUGAGCGCCGCUGGUUCUCUCCCUCAGCGGCCUUGCGGCCCGUUCUGGUCCGCAGGGUUACAGCUGUCUGAUUCUGCUCGGCCGGUCCAAUGUUCUAUUGGGUCGGCCACGGUGGAAUCCGACGUGCUGGUGCGAGGGGUCAGACCGGCUCUGACAAAGACGAGUUGACGUUUCUGAUCAC